CUUGGCUGAUAUGCCAUUCACUGGUUUGAAACAACUGUUCAUAAUGAAAACCAAAACUUGUUUAUAGUAUGCAUUUUACAAGAAAAGCUUUAGCAUACAAAUUUACAUCCACCAAGGUACACAGCAAUGUAUAAAAAAAAAAUGUGGUAUAUCUAUGACUACAUAGAUCCUAAAAUUACAGUGUGCUUGAAAAACUUACAAUUGAUUUUAUGUGGGAUGAAUACCUGCCCUGCCCAAACCUAUUAAGAAGGCACUAUAGUUACUUCCAGUCAGUAUCUCUUCUAAACUUUUUAGCUUGAAAAUUUAGAACAACAGAAUAAACAAAUCGCGAAUUCCUUGUGCACUGAAUAAGUUGCAUAUGUCUCCAUUUUCUGAGAGCUCAGCAGAAAUAGAAAAUGUGUAUCAACUAUCAUGUGAAGUAGGAUAGUGCAUUCCAUCUUUUAGGUGGCUUACUGCUGUGGGACAAAACCAUUUCAGCAUGCUUGGACCCAAUACCGUGGUGAUAUUUUUGUAAACACUAAGGUCAAAUGGAUGUCGAUAACUCUGCCCAGAUUUCCUAGCCAACCAUGCAGCACGAAUUCCUUCAUAAUACUAGAAGAGGCCCAUAAUAAAUUUAAUCAGUAAUAUACAAACAAUCCACAUUGGCAAAAAUUUUCACAGAACUUUACAUGCUAUUGCAAUGUGGCCCUUGAAAAAUAAUUUCACCAAGAAUUUAAACCUUCCAAUCACCUUGGCUAAUCUCAGGUGGUAAAUUGGAACUAAGAUGGAAUUAUUCAAUCUACGUGUAAGCUUAAGCGUUAAAAAAAUGCUAAGUCAAAACUGAAAUGACAAGUGAAACCACAGACGAUUAGUUUCUAACUAAAAUAAGACCCACUAUAUAAAUGCCCCUUGUUAAUUAGUAUAUUUCAUGGAUGUCAAUUGGGACAUACUAUUUUGAGGGGUUCCUCAGUAGUGGGAUUAGUAUUUUCUUUAACACUUCAGUGCAUGCAUGGACUAAAUAGUUUAACCUCCACUUUACCUCAAUAAUAGAAAGCAAUACAUGAACAGAAGAUAUGAGUUUUCACAAUUUUUUUUUGGGUUCUAAUUCAAGUACUCAACUGUUGAUUGUGGGAAUUACUGUUCAGUUACCACAUUGCAAAGUGUAAGUUCAACAUAAAAAUUUGAACUUGUGUCAUCCAUGAACUAUAUCCAACUUUUGAAAUAGCAAAUCUACCUCUAUAGUUGUCAUAUUAUGAGUGAUCAGGUAAAUAUGCCAACCCAAGAGAGUUCCAAGUGUUCCGCUCAAGGCUACCAUCAAUACUCCAGAGAAAACCUAAAAUAAUAUCUCUAUCAAUAUCAAAAUAGCAUACUUGCAUAAGUGCAGCAGCUAAGCAAUAGGAUAACUUAUAAAGCUAAAAUGCUAAAACAACCGAGGGCGAUUCAAUAUAUAACAUGAAAUGUAAUUAGCUAGGUUAAAAACUCAGAAAAUAGGACCCUGGAUUUCAAUUUGAUAUAGUGAUCGCAUAAACAGCCAACACCUGCGACAGAUGUUAAUAACCUCAUGUUUGGCAUCAGUCACCAAUCACCAUCAGCACAAGUGUUGAACUACAUUCAAAAGUUGAAGCUACAUCAUCGAUCAACAUUAUCAUUAUCCCUCGUGUUUUUAACAAAGUUCAAAAAUUACUUUAGAUUUAGUAACAACAAGAAGACAAUAACCUUAUUUGAAUUUGGUUUUAGAAUUUAGUCAAUGAAAUUAUGUUUAAAUAGGAGUCCAGAAACUGAAUUAAUCUGUUCUAACAACGGUUACGAAGCAAUAAUAUGAAUUAUGAAGUGGACAGCCAAUAAUAUUUAUGUAAUUAGAAUCCUGACUUGAACUUUAGAUCUUAUGUUAUGUUUGAUAUUGCAGCAGAUUGAGGGCAGGUAAGAAAAAGAAAACAACGAAAAGUCAUCUUUCAUUCCUGCUGUUUGAAUGACAAAAAGAAGGAUUUGUGCUUUUUCUUCAAUUAAGUUGUCAAAAAUUAAAAGAGAAUAAAGGCCCCCCUCUACCUUUUUUUCCACUCCUUCCUUUCUCAAGUGAGUGAAUUUUAUAGGCCUAGGACCAGGAGGAAGAAGAGAUAUUCUACUUUCCCAAUCAAAGUGAAUUUGAUGAACCGCUUCAAUAAAAUGAAAGUAGAUACUAAUAAGAGAGAUAUAUGAGAUUGAAUACCCACUUACAUAAAAAAUCUUUAGGGGAAUUCUUCCACCAAAAUCCCAGUUCUUUUGAAACACGCAGCUGAUUAUAAUGACCAAAGAAUAGAUGCUUGUUACUGUUGCAUAGAGAACUAG
rnacentral:misc_RNA from 1 species